UACGUAGGUGGCAAGCGUUGUCCGGAAUUAUUGGGCGUAAAGCGCGCGCAGGUGGUUUCUUAAGUCUGAUGUGAAAGCCCACGGCUCAACCGUGGAGGGUCAUUGGAAACUGGGGAACUUGAGUGCAGGAGAGAAGAGUGGAAUUCCACGUGUAGCGGUGAAAUGCGUAGAGAUGUGGAGGAACACCAGUGGCGAAGGCGGACGUCUUUGGCCGUGAUAACUG
rnacentral:rRNA from 1 species